UUUACCGAGUUUAAGAAGCUUUCUCGAACGAAAAAAAGUAAGGAAGGACUCAAAACAUGGUCCAGUUUUACGAUGAGGCCCUGAAAGCGGUGCAGCGGUAUGUCUUCCGGAACGGUCAUCUGCAGCGGUUCGAGCACCUGCUGGCCGAGUAGUUGGAGGACGGUAAAUUUCAGCAAGAGAAAUGAACUAAUCGCGAGCAGCUGUUUUGACCGGUUUCGAAGACCGUCGGAGAAGACUCAACCUGAUCAUCGCGAGAAAGUCGGUUACUUCUUCGUCCGUUCUGCGCCAACUCCAUCCACAUGCUGUCCUCUAGUCGCAUGCUGUCUUCUUCAGUGGUAACCGGGACGGGUUCAUCAUCCAAUCAGGCACCAUGAAAAACUUCCUUGCCUCUUCCUGUGUCGGUCGGACUCCGAGAAUGUGGUAACUCCCUGCGUUUCAACAAGCCGGAGAUGCUCGGCUAGAUAAUCCUGCUGCGCUGGUCAAGUUGAGUGUUCUGAGGCGGGACGCCGGUGGCGGAACGUGGGAUUAGUUGGUUGAUCAGCGGAGUGUGCGCAUCGAUCGCGGAGGAUAUUCGCAGUACGGUCAAGUUGCUCGUGAAUCUGUGGGGAAGGUCGAGGGCAAACCGCCAACUCAGAAAGUUGUUCUUGCUGAACAUUUCGCUGAUCUCGGAGGAGAAGCAACCAGCAGCAUAAAGGUUUGACGACCUGAGAGUGGAGAUUCCUGGUAGGAAAGUCGUCGAACCGGGUCGUCAUAAAUUAUGGUUUGUUUCGAUGUCGUUCUUGAUGCCGCCGACGUCGAUACUGCUGUGCAAACACAAGUUGCAGACGUUGACGAAGCACAAGCUUAAAUCAAGCGAUUUGUUUAAAAGUAGUUAGAAUUUCAGGAAACAGGAAAUGAACAAAUAAAGUAUCAAAUAAAAAAA